ACACGCAUGACACACUGCAUAUCAAUAAGCGGAGGAAAAGAAACUAACUAAGGAUUCCCUCAGUAACGGCGAGUGAAGCGGGAAGAGCUCAAAUUUGAAAUCUUCAAGGUUCUACCUUGACGAAUUGUAGUUUAAAGAAGUGUUUUCUGUUGGAGUUUUGGUAAAAGUUCUUUGGAAUAGGACAUCAUAGAGGGUGAGAAUCCCGUAUUUGACCAUUAUUUCCAGCUGUGUGAUACACUUUCAAAGAGUCGGAUUGUUUGGGAAUGCAGUCCAAAAUGGGUGGUAAAUUUCAUCUAAAGCUAAAUACUGGCGAGAGACCGAUAGCGAACAAGUACCGUGAGGGAAAGAUGAAAAGGAACUUUGAAAAGAGAGUUAAACAGUACGUGAAAUUGUCAAAAGGGAAGCGUUUGACACCAGUGUUGUUUUCUCGAAAAUCAAUUAAAAAUGAUGGGAUUUUGUGUUGUAUUGACUUUAUCAGCUUUCUGCACUUUUUUCCUAUCUUUUUUAAUGCACUUUUCGUUUAACAAGUCAACAUCAAUUUCUUUUGUUGUAAAAGAGUCAUUGGAGGGUGGCUUUUCUUUCGGAAAAGUGUUUAUAGCCUUUGGCUUCUGCAAUCGGAGAGAUUGAGGUCUGCAGCGUAGAUCCUUCGGGGUUAGAUACAUUUGUGCUAAGUUAUAGCCUUUCAUAGACAACUUGUUGACUAUGAUCAGUCAUGUAGCUUACUCGCUUAUGCUAUUUUACCUACGCUUAGGAUGUUGACUGAUAUGUAGUCGUA
rnacentral:rRNA from 1 species